GGCGGUUUGAGUGGCGGCGGCGGGUUUUGGUUACCAGCGAGAUGCAGCAGCAGCGAGAGCAAACACGUCCCUGUAAAAUGGGGCUCAGCAAGGGGAAAGUGGUGUUGGACAGAAGCUCAUCAAUCAGCAGUGAUCUGGAGAGAUGCUCUAUACACACUGGCACUGAGGAGGAUCGCAGGAAUAGCUCUCAGAGCAAAGUCACUGUGGAGAAACUAGAAAGGGAAAACGCUAAGCUGAAAAUGCAGUAUGAAGAGCUGAAGCGCCAGUAUGUGCAGCUCCUGGAGGAGGCGAAGGAGGAGAAGUUUGAGGAAAGGAGAGUCAACCUGCUCAAAGCUCAGGUUAUGCAGCUGGAAAGACAGGUGAUUUUGCUGUCUGAAGGUCUGAGCUCGCAGCUGUGCUGCAGUCAGGAUGUAGAGAAGGCUCUUGAUCCUCUAACACACAGAUUAAGAUCACUGCUGAGCUCUGGAGGUGCUGAUGAGGUGAUCAUAGCUUGGUCUGAGCUCACCCAGCUCGUGGAAAGGUGUGAAGAUGUGAAGCAGAAGCUCCACAGGAAAAUUAAGGUGAGCUCGGCGGAGGACCUGGCCGUUCCCUGGCUGCUGAGUGGGUCAAAACUGACCAAGCAGCCCACCACCACCCUGCUGGACCUCUGCUACGGCAAGAUAAAUAACCUGAACCUUCAGCAAGUGAGCGCUCUGGAGUCCAGGCUCAGCCAGCUGUUCAAACACCUGCACGGAAUACGACAGACCGUUGGCCUGAUCCUCGCCCCUCACCCAGAUCUCCACCCCGCUAAGCUAGCAAGUCCCAAGCAAGUCCCGACGCCCCCGGCUCCCUCAGCCCUCUACGCCCGGCUGCUCAACCAGGCCAGCCUCUGCUGCUCAGACCUGGACCGCUGCUGCCGAGACCUCCUGACCCUGUCCCUCAUCGUACCCUCAGCACCCUGGGCUGGCUCAGAACAACGGGUGAUCCCUGAGCUGGAGGUGGAGAACAUCCUGGCAACGCUGCCUGCCUUCCCCCGGGGAGCGCCCCUCCAGCGGGCCAGACGCUCCGCCCAGGCCCUCAGCCGAGCCGCCAAUUACUCACUGCUAAUGGCCCAGCAGCAGGUAGAAGCUCUGGAGACUGAGCUGGAGUUCCACAGGAGCCUGUACAGCCUGCAGGUGCGAACCGUAGAGGAGCUGGUGCAGGGAAUCCGCCAGGCCUACCAAACCUUCCAGGAGAACAUCUCUCACAGCCUGUGUGCUCCACUGCAAGGAGAUGAAGCCCUGGCGCAGUACGGUCGUGAUUUCCUGCAGUCUGUGGAAGCUCUGCUGAAAGACUGCGCUGAAAACAGAGAGAAAGCAGCCAGUAAGCUUCAGCUGCUUCAGCACAAGCAGCAGCAGGCCUUACACACCCUACACACACUCUCCAGAGCCCACCGGAGAGAGCCCAGCAUCCCACCAGCCCAGCCACAUGCACCGGGUCCUGCUACCACGCAGCAGGUCAGCCCUCCAGCCCUGGAUCAGUCUGGAAACUCUGGAGACCCCAGCAGGAGACUCCCAGAUAAACAACCCACUCUCCUGCCAGCCCAGCAGGAGCACAGAGCGCUGAGAAAGCCUCUGACAGAGGACAUCGCAUCAGAUACCUCCAGACACGAGACGCCCCAACCCACCGGGGUCAACCAGAGGCCAACCAGGAGGAGGAGGAGGAGUUCUCCCAGGAGCAGAGAGGUAGCAGCUAAAGCAGAGCAGCAGUAGAGCACUGAUAUUACAGACACUGCAGAGAGAACAGGUUACGCCUGCUUCAUGCUUUUCAUUAUUAUAAUAUAAUAUUAUACACUUUUAAAAGUGGUUGACUUAAUGCAGUAUUAAAUGUCUUUUUCCUGAUAUAUCUCAUUAACAACAGUGUAUUUGCAAUAUUCUAAUUUUCAUGAUUUUCUUAUGCUAUUACUCACAACAUGACAUACCAGUACCAGUCAAAAGUUUAGACAAACCUUCUAAUUUUUUUUCAUACAUUGUAAACUAAUACUGAAGUGAUUCAGACUAUAAAGGAACACAUAAAAAUAAUGUAGUAACUUAAAAAAGUGUUAAACUAACCAAAACACUCUGAUAACUCGGUACCACUUUAAAAUAAGACUACCUUUAUAAAGGGUUUAUAAAUAGUUAAUUACAAUUAGUUUAUUAGGGUGUUAAUGCCUUAAAAAUCAUUAAUAAUCAGUUAUAACACAUGCGUAGAAUGGGCAACAAUGACCUGUUGUUUGCCAAAUAGUGAACUAUAUUACACAGCCGUCUAUAUUGUUGCUCUUUCUACGUAUGUGUUAUAACUGAUUAUUAAUAAUUUUUAAGGCAUUUACAACCUAAUUAGUAACCAUUAAUAAACUCAUUGUAAACCAUUUAUAAAUGCUUUAU
rnacentral:lncRNA from 1 species